rnacentral:rRNA from 1 species
UACGUACGAGGCAAGCGUUAUCCGGAAUUACUGGGCGUAAAGCGCGCGCAGGUGGCGAAGUAAGUGAGACGUGAAAUCUCCCGGCCUAACUGGGAGGGGUCGUUUUCAUACUGCUUGACUUGAGGACUGCAGAGGUGGGUGGAAUUCCUGGUGUAGUGGUGAAAUGCGUAGAGAUCAGGAGGAACACCGGUGGCGAAGGCG